rnacentral:rRNA from 1 species
GAUGAACGCUGGCGGCGUGCCUAAUACAUGCAAGUCGAGCGAACAGACGAGGAGCUUGCUCCUCUGACGUAGCGGCGGACGGGUGAGUAACACGUGGAUAACCUACCUAUAAGACUGGGAUAACUUCGGGAAACCGGAGCUAAUACCGGAUAAUAUAUUGAACCGCAUGGUUCCAUAGUGAAAGACGGUUUUGCUGUCACUUAUAGAUGGAUCCGCGCCGCAUUAGCUAGUUGGUAAGGUAACGGCUUACCAAGGCAACGAUGCGUAGCCGACCUGAGAGGGUGAUCGGCCACACUGGAACUGAGACACGGUCCAGACUCCUACGGGAGGCAGCAGUAGGGAAUCUUCCGCAAUGGGCGAAAGCCUGACGGAGCAACGCCGCGUGAGUGAUGAAGGUCUUCGGAUCGUAAAACUCUGUUAUUAGGGAAGAACAAAUGUGUAAGUAACUAUGCACGUCUUGACGGUACCUAAUCAGAAAGCCACGGCUAACUACGUG